UACGGGGGGAGCAAGCGUUGUCCGGAAUUAUUGGGCGUAAAGAGCUUGUAGGCGGUCUGUCGCGUCUGCUGUGAAAAUCCGGGGCUCAACCCCGGACUUGCAGUGGGUACGGGCAGACUAGAGUGUGGUAGGGGAGACUGGAAUUCCUGGUGUAGCGGUGAAAUGCGCAGAUAUCAGGAGGAACACCGGUGGCGAAGGCGGGUCUCUGGGCAAUAACUGACGCUGAGGAGCGAAAGCGUGGGGAGCGAACAGG
rnacentral:rRNA from 1 species